rnacentral:misc_RNA from 1 species
UCUUGUGACAGAUCGAAGUUUAUUUAUAAAUAUUUUUUUAACCUACAUUUUAAAUAUGUUUCAAUUUAAUACUAUUUUAAGUGUUAUAUGUUUUGCUUCUUGUGUCACUAUAAAUGUCAGCGCAUGUGGAGCGAUCACUCAUAUUGAAAUAAGUCACAGAGCCCUUGAGCAUUUCAAAAAUGUAUCUACUGUAUAUGAUUAUCAAAAGCUAGCCUGGAAGCAUCAGGAUGCAUUCCAAGCAGGAUCAUCGUAUCCAGACUCUUACUAUGACAGUAUUUGUGCCAAAGGUAUUUAUCACAGUGUAUCAGAAGAUACACACUGGUCUCCAUAUAUUAAUGCCACAAUCAAUCACAUCCAAAAAUAUUACCCGCUACCCUGGGAUAAAGCUACAGAAAAGCUGGUGGUCUUCAUGCUUGGCGUCGUGUCACACCAGGUGGCAGACAUCUUGUGGCACAACCUCGGUAUUCAGCAGGGAUUUCUCCAAACAAUGGCCAAUAUCAACUUCCAUGGUGCAUUUGCGAAAGCUCAUACUGUAGGGGACUUUGGAGGUGAUGUUUUGAAUUUAUUCAACCUCAACAUGAGUUUUGUGGGUGAAAUAUCUGAAUGGUAUAUUCCGGUGGAUGAUCUUUACAAGAUAUAUUUGGAGAUGUAUGGUUCAGAGAAGAUACCGGUCAGUAUCAUCAAAGAAUGUACUACAAUCAUGUUCCUUGAAAGACUGGGAGAGAUGGUUGCUCUGUCAAAGCUGUCUUCUUUCAUCUCGGACUUGAGUCCAUUUCUUCUGGAUCAGUUGGAUGACUUCUUUGUGGGUGGAGUAGAUGACAUGGCUGCAUGGACUCAGAUCAUCUGGAAGGAUUUCAUACACAUGCUUGAACAUGGUCAAAAAGGUUGCAAUCUUCCCCACAACCCUUUAUUCAUCAACUGCACAUCUGGAAAUAAGAUCAGACCGAGAAAUAGCUUCAAGAAUGCCAGAGAACAGGGCAUUUUUCAAAAGUUUUUCUUAAAUGGCCUUUCCACUGGGGAUGUUAUUGUCAAAAGAGCCUACAGAGGUAUUGUCAUCAAAGCAAGUCCUGCAAUUAUGAAACAGUUUAGAGACCGACAAAAAUAUAAGAAGGGAGAACAAUGGCAGAAAUUGGUUAAGAGCAAAGAAGAACUGUCAUUCCAGAAACAACUCAAAGGAAAUCAGAUGGAACCUACUGGCAUUUACACAGUUAAAGAGAAAUAUGCGAAACUUGGAUGGUCAUAUGCUGUUGGUGACCUGAAUCAUGACGGAAUGGAUGACCUUGCUAUUGGAGCUCCAGGGUAUGGUAGUGACACAAGUCCACAGGAUGGCAGAGUUUAUAUCUUACAUGCUACAGAAUAUGGUCUACCGAAAGGCAAUAUAGAUCUCAAUAAAUUUGCAACAGUUCUUUAUGGGCCAUACAAGGCUCAGUCCAGGUUUGGCUCUUCCAUCGCCAUUAUCGACAUUAAUCAAGAUGGUUACAAUGAUAUUGCUGUAGGCUGCCCCAAUUAUAACUCUAAAACAAUACCACUCAAAUAUCAUGGAGCAGUGAUGGUGUAUUACGGACAUCCGGAAGCCAAAUACAGAUUUUCUUCCAUCAACAUGACCAUUCACUGCAAAGAUCAGUACUGCAAUGCUGGCUGGUCACUGGAAUCAGGGGAUGUCAACCAAGAUGGCCGGCCAGAUCUGAUACUUGCUUCUCCAUUUGCACCUGCAGGUGGCACUCAACGUGGAUUUGUAGGAAGCGUCUACUCCAGUACAAAAUAUCAAAUUCCUAGUGUCAUACUUUCAGUUUCUCAACUGGACUGGAUUGAUAGAGGCAUGCAGAACUUUAGCUGGCUUGGUCACCAUAUCAAGUUUGCUGAACAUCCAAAUGGCAAGAAAGUUCUGUUUGCUAGUCAACCAACAUUCAGAAAAUGUGCAAGUCCUGGAUGUGUUAUAAGUCCCAAUGACACGCAGAGUGUUGGUCAGUUUUCUAUGUACCUUCUGCCUGUGGGAGGAACUGUGACCACCAUCAAAUCAGCUGGCAGUCAUCGGUUUCAACAGUUUGGAUACAGCUUUGAUAUGGGCAGACCAUACACUGACGGGUCAGCCAUCUUGGCAGUUGGAUCUGUGGGGGAAGAUGUAAAGGGGCAUGUUUUAGACGUUCCUGUUACUUUUACUGAUGCUGGAAAGAUACAUCUGUAUAACAUCACUAACUUUGGUGCCAUGCCUUAUAAGAAAGUAGCUACCUUUGAUAGUGAUAGGCGCCACAGUCGGUUUGGUACUCACGUCAAAGAGCACCGAACAAACCCUAGCAGUCCAUCAAUGUAGACAGCAUGUGACUUUGCUUCAAGUUUUCUGACCUGAAUGGUGAUAGAUAUGACGACUUAAUUAUUACAGUUCCAAUGAGAACUAGUGAUGCCUCGGAGGAACUCGAAGGAGCUGAAGAAGGAAGAGUGUAUGUGUUUUUUGGAGG